rnacentral:SRP_RNA from 1 species
UGCUGCUUUUCGCGCAACACUAACUUGUGAAUUCGGUCAGAUCCGGAAGGAAGCAUCCGCAGCAGGUGAUGUGGGUGCAUAGAUGUAGCUAGUAAG